ACGCUAGCGGCAGGCCUAACACAUGCAAGUCGAGGGGUAACAGGGAGAAGCUUGCUUCUUUGCUGACGACCGGCGCACGGGUGCGGAACGCGUAUGGAACCUGCCCCUGUCAGGGGAAUAGCCCAGGGAAACUUGGAUUAAUGCCCCAUGGUAUCGUUUUAUCGCAUGAUAUUACGAUUAAAGAUUUAUCGGACAGGGAUGGCCAUGCGUACCAUUAGUUAGAUGGUGAGGUAACGGCUCACCAUGGCAGCGAUGGUUAGGGGCCCUGAGAGGGGGAUCCCCCACACUGGUACUGAGACACGGACCAGACUCCUACGGGAGGCAGCAGUGAGGAAUAUUGGACAAUGGGCGGGAGCCUGAUCCAGCCAUGCCGCGUGCAGGAUGACGGCCCUAUGGGUUGUAAACUGCUUUUAUACGGGAAGAAACGCACCUACGUGUAGGUGUCUGACGGUACCGUAAGAAUAAGGACCGGCUAACUCCGUGCCAGCAGCCGCGGUAAUACGGAGGGUCCGAGCGUUAUCCGGAAUCAUUGGGUUUAAAGGGUCCGUAGGCGGGCCUGUAAGUCAGGGGUGAAAGUUUGUGGCUCAACCAUAAAAUUGCCUUUGAUACUGCAGGUCUUGAGUCAUGGUGGGGUUGCCGGAACAUGUGGUGUAGCGGUGAAAUGCAUAGAUAUCACAUAGAACACCGAUCGCGAAGGCAGGUGACCAACCAUGUACUGACGCUGAUGGACGAAAGCGUGGGUAGCGAACGGGAUUAGAUACCCCGGUAGUCCACGCCGUAAACGAUGGAUACUAGCUGUGGGGACUUCGGUCUCCGUGGCCAAGCGAAAGUGAUAAGUAUCCCACCUGGGGAGUACGUUCGCAAGAAUGAAACUCAAAGGAAUUGACGGGGGCCCGCACAAGCGGUGGAGCAUGUGGUUUAAUUCGAUGAUACGCGAGGAACCUUACCAGGGCUUAAAUGCAGGCUGGCAUGGGUGGAGACACCCCUUUCUUCGGACUGCCUGCAAGGUGCUGCAUGGUUGUCGUCAGCUCGUGCCGUGAGGUGUCAGGUUAAGUCCUAUAACGAGCGCAACCCCUACCGUU
rnacentral:rRNA from 1 species